rnacentral:rRNA from 1 species
UAGAUGCGAGAGUAGAGCAUAUCAAUAAGCGGAGGAAAAGAAACUAACAAGGAUUCCCUUAGUAACGGCGAGUGAAGCGGGAAGAGCUCAAAUUUGAAAUCUUCAAGGUUUUACCUUGACGAAUUGUAGUUUAAAGAAGUGUUUUCUGUUGAAGUUUUGGUAAAAGUUCUUUGGAAUAGGACAUCAUAGAGGGUGAGAAUCCCGUAUUUGACCAUUAUUUUCAGCUGUGUGAUACACUUUCAAAGAGUCGGAUUGUUUGGGAAUGCAGUCCAAAAUGGGUGGUAAAUUUCAUCUAAAGCUAAGUAUUGGCGAGAGACCGAUAGCGAACAAGUACCGUGAGGGAAAGAUGAAAAGAACUUUGAAAAGAGAGUUAAACAGUACGUGAAAUUGUCAAAAGGGAAGCGUUUGACACCAGUGUUGUUUUCUCGAAAAUCAAUUAAAAAUGCCCGGAUUUUGUGUUGUAUUGACCUUUAUAAGCUUUCUGCACUCUUUUCUUGUCUUUUUUAAUGCACUUUUCGUUUAACAAGUCAACAUCAAUUUCUUUUGUUGUAAGAGGGUCAUUGGAAGGUGGCUUUCUUUUCGGAGAAAGUGUUUAUAGCCUUUGAUCUCUGCAAUCGGAGAGACUGAGGUCUGCAGCGUAGACUCUUCGGGGUUAGAUACAUUUGUGCUAAGCUAUAGCUUUUUAUAGACAACUUGUUGACUAUAUUUAGUCUUGUGGCUUACUCGCUUAUGCUAUUUUACCUACGCUUAGGAUGUUGACGCGCGUGUGUGCGUG